rnacentral:lncRNA from 1 species
AUGCACCGCACAGCAGCUUUUUACUGCACCCCUCAUAUUCUGUCUAUCCAGAAAAAAGUUAAUGUAGCCAACCUGAGACUGUUGUCUUCAGAAGAUCUGCUCGCAUGGCUGGCCCUCAGCUGGGGUGAAGAAUAUGAAUUUCUGGAGAGUUCCCACCAUUCCCUAUCUGGUAAGAGUGGUUGGUAAUACCUAUGCUACUUGUACAUAUAGUGUUCAUCCCGGACACCUGCUUACUUCCGGGAGUCUGGAAAUUUGGUAUGGGCUAAGGAGAGAGUGCCUGUGUGGCCAGACCCCAGCAAAACUUUAGGCAUUCAUUCUCUAAUGAGUUUCCUGGUAGACAACAUUUCACACAUGUUAUCACAAUUCAAUGCUGGAGGAAUUAAGCACAUUCUGUGUGACUCUGUGGGGAAAGGACUCUUGGAAGCUAGUUCCUGGUUUCCUCUGGCCUUCUCUUCAUGUGCCUUUUCCCUUUGCUGAUUUUUUUUUAUCCUUUUCAUAUAAUGAAUUGUAGCUGCAAAUACAAAUAUUUGCCAAGUCCUAUGAGUCUGAGCAAAUCAUAGAACCUGGGGGUGGUCUGGAGGACCCCUGACCUGCCAUCUGUUGGCAAAUUCUGUCAGCAUUUCCUUCAAAAUACAUAUUGAAUAUGGCCAUUUCUCAGGUCCUCCUCUGCUUCCACCGUUGUCAGAAACAUCAUCUCUCUCUUAGCUGAUUCUCCUAACUGGUCUCCCUUUUUCCACUCCUCCUUUUUUCUGCAGCAGAGUGAACUGAUUGAAAUAUAAACACAACCUGUUUGUCACUCCUCUGCUCAAACCAUCCAAUGACCAAAAAUCCCAUGCAAGGAGAAAGCAAAGUGCUCACAUGACCUAAACAGCCUGGCUUCCUAUGGUCUCCUAGCCUGCAUAUCCUCCUUUUCGAGCCUCAUUCACUUCCCUCCAGCCAGCAGGUUUGUCUCACAAGCAUGUUCCCCACUUAGAGCCUUCAUACCCACAAUCAUUAGGUCCUGUGAUGUUCUGCCCAGGUAGAUCUGUGUGGUUUAAUCCUUAACUUCCUUUAGACUUUUUAUUACAUGUAACCUUCUGUACAAGGUCCUCCCUGGUUACCCUACCUAAAAUGUCAAUCCCCUCUCUUGUCCUCAUCUUUCUUUACUUUUCCUCGUUAACACUUAUCUAUGUGUUGCCUAUUUACCUUGUUUAUUGUCUGCGUAUCUGGAAUGUAACUUUCAAGCAAACAGGGAUUUUUGUCUGUUGUGUUCACUGACGUGUCUCCAGUGCCUACAACCAUUCCUGACAUCCUGAAAUACAGAAGUAACUGAAUAAACACUUGUUGAACAAAUGCA